rnacentral:tRNA from 1 species
AUUUAGAUAGUUUAAAUAGAAUUGUAAUUUGUGGUGUUACAGGUGAAAUUUUUAUUUCUCUUAAUC